ensembl:lncRNA
AUGCCCAGCAAGAGAAAGAAGAACAAGCGUCGCAUGAGGAGGGAGCAGGCCCAGAGGAGAGGCCUUGAAGAGCAGCAUGCAGCUUACCCGCCAGCCAAAGCCACUCCUGCGAUGGCAGUGGACGCGCCACCUGCAGCGACCUCAAAGAAAGCGGCCAAAACUCCGGCUCCAGCAAAGAUCCCAGUGGCAGUUCCGAUUGUUGUCCCCACCGUGAAGACCCCAAUCGUUAAACCACAACCAGUUGUGGAAAAGGCGAUCCCAGCACCAGUGAAGGAGCCGGUCCCAGCGCCAGUGAAGGAGCCGGCCCCAAUGCCAGUGAAGGAGCCGGUCCCAGCGCCAGUGAAGGAGCCGGUCUCGGUGCCAGCGGAGGAGCCGGUCCCGGUGGCUGUUGAAGAGCCGGCCCCGGUGGCAGUGGAGGAGCCGGUCCCAGUCGAGGUAGCGGUGCCAGAGGUGGCGGCUGUGGUGUUGGAACAGACGCCGGCAGUCGUUGAGGUCAAGGUCCCAGCUCCGAUUGCUGAAGAACAACCCGUUGUUGAGGCUCCACCGGUAGAGCCUUCCACAGUUGAAGUCGCGAUUGUGCAGGAGGCUGAACCUAUCAUUCCUAAACCAGAACCAGUGACACAGCUCACACCCCCAGCUGAGGCUCCAGCAGCAGCCCCUGUUGAGAUGCAGAUUCAGGCGGAGGCGACUAUAACCGAAACCACAGAGACUGCACAGACGCGCGACGCCCGCGAGCCACAGGCAGAAGCGAAGGGCGAGGAUGAGGCGGCCGCGGAGGCCGAGGCGGAGGUCGUAGACGGGAUCGCCGCAGCGGAGAUUGUAACGGAAACAACCGAAGAAGAAGCCGUCGGAGCCCCGGAGGCGGCUCCGCAGGCCGCGCUGGAGCUCGGCGCGAAGGCACCGGAGCCAGAACGGGAGGCCGAAGCUGUCGCGCGCCCCGCAGCCGAGGGGGAGGGGGAGGGGGAGGAGCCGGCCAAAGAAGACGCACCGGACGUCCCGCCUGAGCCCGUUGCCAUGACAGAGGCUGCUCCUGACCCAUCUGUGGGAAUCCCAGCGGUGCCAGAAGCCGUCUCUGAGGCUUUGGUAGAAGAGGCGGAAGCCCUUUUAACUGAAGUCAAAGAGAGCGUUGCCGACAGCCUGGUUGAUGACUUCGUUGUCACAGACUCCGUUGCAGCGGAGGACGUCGCCAAUGCACAGGCUGUUGAGGUGCAGCCGGAAAUUGUGAGCAACACCAAAUCAGAAUCUGUGGACGCUUCGCCCGCCGAGCCGCUGGCUGCCCCUGCAGAGGAAACGCUCAUUGACGCCGCUGCUGAGCAGAAAUGUUCCGAGGUGCUUUCAGAAGAGCCCAAGCAGGGGAUGUGCGACAUACCGUGUCAGAUGCAGCUCGCCUCAAUGGUAAGAGCGAAGGACGUCGCUGCAGACGUCGAGGUUCGUCAUCGACGCUGUGAACUCACCUGGUCCAACUGGUCUUGCUUUGCGGCUCAGGAGAUGUCGGUGGAAGCGUCGCUGAACGGACACGUCGUUCCAGAGGUCUCCAUCGAGGGCUAGAUUCACUCCACGCAACUCGGAUGAUCUUUUUUUCUUUUUGUGUUU